CGCCUGACCCAGGGAUCAAACCCGUAUCUCCUGCAUUAGAAGCAGACUCUUCACCACUGAGCCACCAGGGAAGCCCAUAGAGGACAAGGCCAUGGCUUGCCGACUGACAAGCAAUUUGCUUUGCUUCUGUACCAGUGAGGCAUGCUGGAAAUCCAUCUUCUGGAAUUUGUUGAAAAUGACAUAAUCUGACUUCGGUAUUGACCAUCUGGUGAUAUCCAUGUGUGGAGUCUUCUCUUGUGUUGUUGGAAGAGGGUAUUUGCUACGACCAGUGCAUUCUCUUGGCAGAACUCUACUAGCCUUUGCCCUGCUUCAUUCUGUACUCCAAAGCCAAAUUUGCCUGUUACUCCAGACAGCAAACAAAUCUCCCCUUGGGCCCAGAGGAAGACAUUAUCUCUGUCUUCUAAGGAUGUUUGCUACACAGACAUCCCUGAAAAAAUCAGGAAAAAGCUGUUAAUGCCCUUGCCUAGAAGACAUGCAGAAAUACAAGAGAUCAAUGGAGAGCUGUCUUCCCACAAAUGACUGCUUCAGAGCCUUUGUCAGAGCCUGGGAGCCUCAACUACUGAAGCCUGCAGACCCCAGAGCCUGUGCUCCACAAGAGAAGCCACCGCAGUGAGAAGCCCUCACACCACAACUGGAGAGCAGCCACUGCUCACCUCAACUAGAGAAAAGCCCACACGCAACCGAGUCCCAGCACAGCCAACAAAUACAUUAAAGCACUACUUUAAAACUCGAUGUGAUGAACUUGAC
ensembl:lncRNA